UACGAAGGGGGCUAGCGUUGUUCGGAAUUACUGGGCGUAAAGGGCGCGUAGGCGGCGUGUCAAGUCAGGCGUGAAAGCCCCGGGCUCAACCUGGGAACUGCAUUGGAAACUAACGGGCUCGAGUGUGGCAGAGGGGGGUGGAAUUCCACGUGUAGCAGUGAAAUGCGUAGAGAUGUGGAGGAACACCGAUGGCGAAGGCAGCCCCCUGGGCUAACACUGACGCUCAGGCACGAAAGCGUGGGGAGCAAACAGG
rnacentral:rRNA from 1 species